UACGAAGGGAGCUAGCGUUGUUCGGAAUCACUGGGCGUAAAGCGCACGUAGGCGGAUUUGUCAGUCAGGGGUGAAAUCCCGGGGCUCAACCUCGGAACUGCCUCCAAAACUACAAGUCUGGAGCAAGAUAGAGGCAAGUGGAAUUGCGAGUGUAGAGGUGAAAUUCGUAGAUAUUCGCAGGAACACCAGUGGCGAAGGCGACUUGCUGGAUCUUUGCUGACGCUGAGACGCGAAAGCGUGGGGAGCAAACAGG
rnacentral:rRNA from 1 species